GGUUUCAGAUUCAUGGAGCAACACGUCGCUAAUUCGUAGCGGCUAAUACGACGUUUGAGGACUUUUGACCGCGUUUAUUAGUUUGUUACCCGGCUUGGCUUUCGGUGAUUCAUACUAAACAGGCGAAUCCCGUUUAGCGAUGCCCCUCUCGGUUUUACACACCUUCCGCUUGAGGGUAGGUUUUUGAACUACCGAGGCAGCAACGGGUAACGGGGAAUUAGGGUUCGAUUCCGGUGAG
rnacentral:rRNA from 1 species